rnacentral:rRNA from 1 species
AUUGAACGCUGGCGGCAGGCCUAACACAUGCAAGUCGAGCGGAUGAAGGGAGCUUGCUCCUGGAUUCAGCGGCGGACGGGUGAGUAAUGCCUAGGAAUCUGCCUGGUAGUGGGGGAUAACGUCCGGAAACGGGCGCUAAUACCGCAUACGUCCUGAGGGAGAAAGUGGGGGAUCUUCGGACCUCACGCUAUCAGAUGAGCCUAGGUCGGAUUAGCUAGUUGGUAGGGUAAAGGCCUACCAAGGCGACGAUCCGUAACUGGUCUGAGAGGGUGAUCAGUCACACUGGAAAUGAGACACGGUCCAGACUACUACGGGAGGCAGCAGUAGGGAAUCUUCCGCAAUGGGCGAAAGCCUGAAGGAGCAACGACGCGUGAGUGAUGAAGGUCUUCGGAUCGUAAAACUCUGUGAUUAGGGAAGAAAAAAUGUGUAAGUAAAUAUGCACGUCUUGACGGUACCUAAUCAGAAAGCCACGGCUAACUACGUG